UUGCUGUCGCAAAAAUAAAAUUGAAUUUUAAGUGAAAAAUUAAAAAAUCGCGAAAUAAAGCAAAUUCGGAAGUGAUAUACCGAUAUACAUACAUAUGUAUCUAUGUAAUUCAAUAUUCCAACAUUCGUUUAAUAUUGCUGUUUCCUUAAGACGUGUAUUUCCUCUUUAAGUGAAAAGAAAUUUUGCAUUUUCUGACGCGAAUAAAAAUUAAAAAAGAAAUAUUUUCAUAAUACUAUUGAAAAAGUAACAUGGAUGAAGAAAUACAGAAUUUAUUAUAAAAAUUGCGUUAUGAAAAAAGGAAGUUCUAGAAAAUUGCUCAUGCAUUUCAAAUUCAUCCAUUAGGAACAUAAAAAGAAAAUUAAAUGUGUAAAUAAAGAGUGAUUUUAUCCUUAUAUUCAUAGGAUUUGAAAUCACGGUCAAAUAAUUUAAAUUACACAGAUUUCGAAUUUUUUUAACGCGAGUUAAAAUAAAAAGAAGCUAAAUAAAAUUUUAACAAAAAGCUAUUAGAAAAUUGAAAAACUUCAAAAAAUCAAAAAUCUUGUAAAUAAUUUAUAAAUUUAUUAAAAAAAAAAACAUUUAUAAAGGACUUUAGAGAAAAAUUAAACAGUGAGAAAUGAAGGUGCAAGUGAAAUACAAUUUUAUUAAAAUUAAAAGUGAUCUUAAAACUAAUUGCAGCAAAUUUUUUCCAUUAAAGCAAACAUGAAUAUAUCCUUACCAAAAAAAAUCUAUAUAUGUUGACUGUUAAGUGGUUUGUCAUUUUUUUGAUCAAUUCCUCAUUCCCUUAUAUGUCAUAUAUAAAGAAAAUCGAAAAAUCAAAUCAAUAGUUCAUUGAUUUAAGUGUCAAAUAAAAGAAAAUUUCUGAACAAAAUAAAUAAACAAAAAUAGAAAUAAAGAAAUAAUAAUUUAAUUUGCGGAAAAUAAAUAAAAAGUGAGUGAAAAUAUUUUUCAUAUUAAAAAUAAAUGUUAAUAAUAAUAUUGUUUUAAUCAAAUUUAUGCAAACGCUAAAGUUUUAACGCUUUUUUAAACAUUUACUUUUAUAAUUAAUUUGAAAAGAAUUUCAAAUGAAAUUUUGUUUUGAUUUCUUUAUUUAAUCAAAUGCAUUUUUGGCAUUUAUGAUAAAAAAGAAGCUGUCGCAAAAAUAAAAUAAAAUUUUAAGUGAAAAAUUAAAAAGAUGGUGUAAAAUCGCGAAAUAAAGCAAAUUCGGGAGUGAUAUAUCGAUAUACAUAUGUAUCUAUGUAAUUCAAUAUUCCAACAUUCGUUUAACAUUGCUGUUUCCUUAAGACGUGUAUUUCCUCUUUAAGUGAAAAGAAAUUUUGCAUUUUCUGACGCGAAUAAAAACUAAAAAGAAAUAUCUUCAUAAAGGAUCAAGAAAUACAGAAUUUAUUAUAAAAAUUUUGUGAUUAAAAAAAGGGAGUUCUAGAAAAUUGCUCAUGCAUUUAAAAUUCAUCCAUUAGGAACAUAAAAAGAAAAUUAAAUGUCACCAAAAUAAAAACAAACAGAGAAACAACGCCUACUCUGAGGUCAAUUAACAUACGAUAUAAGUAAUCCAAUAUAUUACUCCUAGUUAAUUAUUACCAACGUUUAAACAAAAAGUUGUCCCAACUUAUUUUUUUGAAUCCUUUGCAUUUAUUCCUUUGGCAAAACGGCAACAAUAAUGUUUUCCAAGCAGAAAACCCAUCAAAGGAAGAGGUCUUCGAAAGAUCCUCCUAUGUUCGUUAAUAU
rnacentral:lncRNA from 1 species